rnacentral:tRNA from 1 species
GGGGGUAGAUAGGUGCUGGUGUGCCUCGCGGUCUUCAAAACCGUUUGCAGGGGGUUAGGAGCCUCCCGGGUGGGUUCGAUUCCCACAUACUCCCGCCA